GCAGACUGCAGGUCUCCCUUUGUAGCAGAACUUUUACAGGAUUUUAAAAAGAUUUGUGACUAAAUCUCUGUUUCUUCAUUGGUUUCCAGGUUUCUCUCAAAACUGCUAAAUUCUGAAAAAAAUUCUGUGGCUUUUCUGAGGAGAGUUUGACUCAGAAUGACAGACGAAUGACAGCAGGAACACAGCUCCUAGCUGGUGUGUGGGCAAGGUGCACACUGAGUGAGUGGACAGGCCACAAUGAACCCAGCUCCCAGCCAUGAAUGGGUGAAGCCCAUGCUGAAAGAGUGGAGCAGGCUGCAGUGAAUCCAGACUCCCACCUGGCAAGUGGGGAGAGGUCCUUGCUGAGAGGGUGGAAAAGACGGUAGUGAAUCCAGCUCUCAGCGAGCAUGUGUCUGAGGUCCAUGCCGAGAGAGUGGAGAAAGCGGCAAUGAACCUAGCUCUCAGCCGGCGUGUGGAUGAGGUCCACCCCAAGGUGGUUCAGCAUGCCUCAAGGAAGCUGUCUUCACUGAGACCAGGCCAGAAUCAGUGGCACAGAACUGCGGACUGCCCUUGCACCCUCUAGUACAGUUUCCAGCUUGAAGCAGGAGUGUCAAAAUACCAGGAGGAAGCCUGUCUUUGUGAGGUCUACUGCCCAAUUCUACAGAACCAACAGGUUCCUAAGAUCCCAAGAUGGAUGCAGCUACAGUAGAGAGAAAUCAAAG